rnacentral:rRNA from 1 species
UACGUAGGGGGCAAGCGUUGUCCGGAUUUAUUGGGCGUAAAGAGCGUGUAGGAGGUUGGGUAGGUCCGUUGUGAAAACUCGAGGCUCAACCUCGAGACGCCGAUGGAAACCCCCCAGCUAGAGUCCGGAAGAGGAGAGUGGAAUUCCUGGUGUAGCGGUGAAAUGCGCAGAUAUCAGGAAGAACACCCGUGGCUAAGGCGGCUCUCUGGGACGGUACUGACGCUGAGACGCGAAAGCGUGGGGAGCGAACAGG